rnacentral:lncRNA from 1 species
AAUAUUUCGAUGACCCAGCUCUCUCUCGUUUUCGCGUUCUUCCUUUCUCUGUCGUCUCUGCACUCUUCUCUCCUUCUCUCUGCUUUCUUUUUCUCUUCUUUGCUUCCCUUCUCUCAUUUACGCGUUCUUAUUUUGGGUUUUGGUGGUUGAUUUGUGGGAAGAAGUACAACUACAUCAUUGACGACGAUUGCUUUGUAAGAUCUUUAACUGCGCUUUAUUUUGUUAUGCUGGGAAUCGUUUUUGAUGUGGGAUUUGGAAAGAAUUGUGAAUUUCUUGGUUUUGGUGUUUUUGAUUGAUGGGUUUUGAUGUUUUUUUUUGAAUUUUCGGUGGGAUUGGAUCGGUUUGAUUUGGUGGGUUAUGAGAAGAUUGGAUUUUGGUUAGGCUUUGAUUUGUGCGUACUUUCAACCUUUUUCUGGUUUGCCUUUUUUGUGUGUCAAAUGAUUGAAUUUAUACAUUCAGAUCUGCUUCUCUGUUCUGCACAUUCAUCUUCAAUAAUGUUUCUGUUAUGUCGUGUAUUGUGUGUUUUUUUGUUCAUGGCCUGAAUUUGACCUGUGUUGCCUUCUUGUAUUCAAUAAAAUUCAUAAAUUUCUCUCCUGAAACUAAACCACAAUAGAAACGUUUAAAUGAUUAUAAGGUGAUGUUAAAGAUGUAGGUUAUAGGAUUUAGUUGAAAAACUGGGAACAGAGGUUACAAAAACAUUUAGGCCAUAUGUAUUGUCUGUUAAUGGGGUAAAGUGAAAUGAGACGGAGGGGGUGUUAAAGGAAUUGUGGGCAUUUGAAAGAUUAAAUUUGCAGUGUUAAAGGAAUUAGUGUGUAUAAGGGGUAAAAAGGGUGGGAAGGCAUUGUAGGUAUUUUUGAAAAUAAUUUCAGUCAGCUGACCACUUUUUGACUACUUGACUGACGGAAUGAGACAAAGGGGGUGUUAGUGACAAUUUUCAAUAGUUAAGGAGGUGUAAGUGGUUGGUUUUUUAAUUAAUGGGUGUUAGUAACUAAACGUUAUAAUUUGGGAGUGUUCCUAUAAUUAAGCCUUAAAUUAAUCAUAUUGAGGUCCCAUCUAUUUCUUACAUAGGCUUGGGUAGAAUACCUAAGCUACGGUAGAAUAACAAAACCAUGCUGAUGGACUUCUUAUUUUUCAGUAAACAGACGUGCGAAAUUUCCCAUAAGAAAUACUGUUUGCCUAUAUUUGAGGAAGGGAGUUGUGUUACUAUGUCCUCUUGAGAAUUGAUUUUUGAAUCUCUAAUCAGCUAAUGCAUCAAUAGUCAAUCAUCAUUCUUGUAACUGGUAACUAGUGAGUAUGUGAUAGUGCAAGAAAAUGAGAUAAGAAGAGUGAGAAACAAGAAAAUUUUUUGACACAGUAGCGGCCCAAAGUUUUUUGAGGCUUCGAGUUGUACAUCAAAAUGGGACCAAUCUUAUUGGAUCUUCAGGUAAUUACGGCCUUUAGCAAGAAAGAAGAUUUCAGUUUUUUAGUUUCUUGGACACAAUAAACGAAUGAGCCACAUCCCACUUUGGUUGUUUUUUUCUAUCUUGAAAGUGUGUUUGUAGUAUUUGUCAUAAGUUCUACUUUCUUCUUAAGGGCAAAUGAAAAAAAUAAAAAACGCUACAAAAACAAGCUGAUUUUUGAAAAGUUAGUACUUUUUAAUUUCUAGUUUUGAAUUAUCGAGGUUUUAAUAUAAGUUCAGCUACAAUAGAUACCCACAUUGUCAACAAUGCUUAGUGGCAGCUAUGAUUAAUCAUCGCUUCCAUCUUCUAGAUAGUUCAUAAACUAAAUGCCUGAACUCCAAAAAUUUAUAGGACGGUCACUGUUGAUGCCAGAUAUAUAGUGGAGCUGGUAUGGCACAAAAUUGGAAACUGGUUUAUAGGAUGCCACCAUUUGGAGAAAAGAA